rnacentral:rRNA from 1 species
UACGUAGGUGACAAGCGUUGUCCGGAUUUACUGGGCGUAAAGCGUGCGCAGGCGGCUUUGCAAGACAGAUGUGAAAUCCCCGGGCUUAACCUGGGAACUGCAUUUGUGACUGCAUGGCUGGAGUGCGGCAGAGGGGGAUGGAAUUCCGCGUGUAGCAGUGAAAUGCGUAGAUAUGCGGAGGAACACCGAUGGCGAAGGCAAUCCCCUGGGCCUGCACUGACGCUCAUGCACGAAAGCGUGGGGAGCAAACAGG